AUUGAACGCUGGCGGCAGGCCUAACACAUGCAAGUCGAACGGUAACAGGAAGCAGCUUGCUGCUUCGCUGACGAGUGGCGGACGGGUGAGUAAUGUCUGGGAAGCUGCCUGAUGGAGGGGGAUAACUACUGGAAACGGUAGCUAAUACCGCAUAAUGUCGCAAGACCAAAGAGGGGGACCUUCGGGCCUCUUGCCAUCGGAUGUGCCCAGAUGGGAUUAGCUUGUUGGUGGGGUAACGGCUCACCAAGGCGACGAUCCCUAGCUGGUCUAAGAGGAUGACCAGCCACACUGGAACUGAGACACGGUCCAGACUCCUACGGGAGGCAGCAGUGGGGAAUAUUGCACAAUGGGCGCAAGCCUGAUGCAGCCAUGCCGCGUGUAUGAAGAAGGCCUUCGGGUUGUAAAGUACUUUCAGCGGGGAGGAAGGGAGUAAAGUUAAUACCUUUGCUCAUUGACGUUACCCGCAGAAGAAGCACCGGCUAACUCCGUG
rnacentral:rRNA from 1 species